rnacentral:rRNA from 1 species
GGCGAGUGAAGCGGUAAAAGCUCAAAAUUUGAAAUCUGGUACUUUCAGUGCCCGAGUUGUAAUUUGUAGAAUUUGUCUUUGAUUAGGUCCUUGUCUAUGUUCCUUGGAACAGGACGUCAUAGAGGGUGAGAAUCCCGUUUGGCGAGGAUACCUUUUCUCUGUAAGACUUUUUCGAAGAGUCGAGUUGUUUGGGAAUGCAGCUCAAAGUGGGUGGUAAAUUCCAUCUAAAGCUAAAUAUUGGCGAGAGACCGAUAGCGAACAAGUACAGUGAUGGAAAGAUGAAAAGAACUUUGAAAAGAGAGUGAAAAAGUACGUGAAAUUGUUGAAAGGGAAGGGCAUUUGAUCAGACAUGGUGUUUUUUGCAUGCACUCGCCUCUCGUGGGCUUGGGCCUCUCAAAAAUUUCACUGGGCCAACAUCAAUUCUGGCAGCAGGAUAAAUCAUUAAGAAUGUAGCUACUUUGGUAGUGUUAUAGCUUUUUGGAAUACUGUUAGCCGGGAUUGAGGACUGCGCUUCGGCAAGGAUGUUGGCAUAAUGGUUAAAUGCCGCCCGUCUUGAAACACGGAC